rnacentral:rRNA from 1 species
ACGCUCGACACCUACGGGAAGCAGCAGUCGGGAAUAUUGCGCAAUGGAGGAAACUCUGACGCAGUGACGCCGCGUAUGGGAAGAAGGUUUUCGGAUUGUAAACCAUUUUAGACAAGGAAGAAACAAGACAGUACUUGUAGAAUAAGCUCCGGCUAACUACGUGCCAGAGCCGCCGGUAAGUACUGAGCGGGCGUGGCGAAGGACG